UACGUAGGGGCCUAGCGUUGUCCGGAUUUAUUGGGCGUAAAGCGCGCGCAGGUGGUUUCUUAAGUCUGAUGUGAAAGCCCACGGCUCAACCGUGGAGGGUCAUUGGAAACUGGGGAACUUGAGUGCAGAAGAGGAAAGUGGAAUUCCAAGUGUAGCGGUGAAAUGCGUAGAGAUUUGGAGGAACACCAGUGGCGAAGGCGACUUUCUGGUCUGUAACUGACACUGAGGCGCGAAAGCGUGGGGAGCGAACAGG
rnacentral:rRNA from 1 species